AUUGAACGCUGGCGGCAGGCCUAACACAUGCAAGUCGAGCGGAUGAGAGAAGCUUGCUUCUCGAUUCAGCGGCGGACGGGUGAGUAAUGCCUAGGAAUCUGCCUGGUAGUGGGGGACAACGUUUCGAAAGGAACGCUAAUACCGCAUACGUCCUACGGGAGAAAGCAGGGGACCUUCGGGCCUUGCGCUAUCAGAUGAGCCUAGGUCGGAUUAGCUAGUUGGUGAGGUAAUUGCUCACCAAGGCGGAGAUCCGUAACUGGUCUGAGAGGAUGAUCAGUCACACUGGAACUGAGACACGGUCCAGACUCCUACGGGAGGCAGCAGUGGGGAAUAUUGGACAAUGGGCGAAAGCCUGAUCCAGCCAUGCCGCGUGUGUGAAGAAGGUCUUCGGAUUGUAAAGCACUUUAAGUUGGGAGGAAGGGUUGUAGAUUAAUACUCUGCAAUUUUGACGUUACCGACAGAAUAAGCACCGGCUAACUCUGUGCCAGCCGCCGCGGUAACAC
rnacentral:rRNA from 1 species